UUCGAGUUUGCGUUAGGGAUAGUAGCGGCAUCCUUUUAUGGAGCCUAAAGCGGAAUAAAAGAUAUAGCGGAAAGCCCGACCUUUA
rnacentral:sRNA from 1 species